CUGCUCUGUUUCCAGGCUCUGAGAACUCCAGGCAGCAAGGCUGGCCCUAAAACAGUGCUUUACUCCUACUGGAUCCUGUUCCUGCUAGAAAGACAAGGAAUUAUGGAGAAGCUUCCAGAAUUCUCUCACUGAUUGAUUUCUGCAGCAUUCCUGCUUCUGUUUUCCUGACCGGUUCCCAAGCAGCGACGCUCAAAUAGUGAGAGAACAUUGUCACCCUCCAAGAAGAGAGAGAAAAAGAUGAUACACUGCAUGGUAGAUGCUGUCCUCCUAGAAACCCAAGCCAGCACCUCCAUCUAUUCUGACCACUGUGGGGAAUCUCCUUCCUUCUGCCUGCUGAGUGGCCUGGUGACAUAGAGAUGCCCAGCUCUAUCUUAAGCUACUGCUGUUGUCUGAUGCAAGGUUCCUCCUUGGCAGCCUGGCAGAGUGCAGACAACUUAAUCCCCAUCCACCCGCCACCAUUCUUUCCUCCUCUCUUUGUCCCUACCAGCACGACUGUGCUUUAAUCUCUUUCCUCUCCUGCCAACUUGCCCAGGCUGUCCCAGAUGGCCCUUCACCUUAAGCAAACCCAUUUCCAUUGCUGUAUAAGCCUCUUCUCCCCCUUUUACAUGUUAAUUCUCUGAUUCACAGCUGCAGAGUUAGAUAGAAGAAAGAAAGAAAGAAAAAAAUAAACCCAAAAAUGGCAAACAAA